GAUGAACGCUGGCGGCGUGCCUAAUACAUGCAAGUCGAGCGAACGGACGAGAAGCUUGCUUCUCUGAUGUUAGCGGCGGACGGGUGAGUAACACGUGGAUAACCUACCUAUAAGACUGGGAUAACUUCGGGAAACCGGAGCUAAUACCGGAUAAUAUUUUGAACCGCAUGGUUCAAAAGUGAAAGACGGUCUUGCUGUCACUUAUAGAUGGAUCCGCGCUGCAUUAGCUAGUUGGUAAGGUAACGGCUUACCAAGGCAACGAUGCAUAGCCGACCUGAGAGGGUGAUCGGCCACACUGGAACUGGUACACGGUCCAGACUCCUACGGGAGGCAGCAGUAGGGAAUCUUCCGCAAUGGGCGAAAGCCUGACGGAGCAACGCCGCGUGAGUGAUGAAGGUCUUCGGAUCGUAAAACUCUGUUAUUAGGGAAGAACAUAUGUGUAAGUAACUGUGCACAUCUUGACGGUACCUAAUCAGAAAGCCACGGCUAACUAC
rnacentral:rRNA from 1 species